rnacentral:rRNA from 1 species
ACGAACGCUGGCGGCGUGCUUAACACAUGCAAGUCGAACGCUGAAGCUCAGCUUUUGUUGGGUGGAUGAGUGGCGAACGGGUGAGUAACACGUGAGUAACCUGCCCCCUUCUUUGGGAUAACGCCCGGAAACGGGUGCUAAUACUGGAUAUUCACUGGUCUUCGCAUGGGGGUUGGUGGAAAGGGUUUUUCUGGUGGGGGAUGGGCUCGCGGCCUAUCAGCUUGUUGGUGGGGUGAUGGCCUACCAAGGCUUUGACGGGUAGCCGGCCUGAGAGGGUGACCGGUCACAUUGGGACUGAGAUACGGCCCAGACUCCUACGGGAGGCAGCAGUGGGGAAUAAUGCACAAUGGGCGCAAGCCUGAUGCAGCGACGCCGCGUGAGGGAUGGAGGCCGUCGGGUUGUGAACCUCUUUCGCUCAUGGUCAAGCCGCAACAAUGGUUGUGGUGAGGGUAGUGGGUAAAGAAGCGCCGGCUAACUACGUG